rnacentral:rRNA from 1 species
CCUACGGGAGGCAGCAGUGGGGAAUAUUGCACAAUGGGGGAAACCCUGAUGCAGCGACGCCGCGUGAGUGAAAAAGGAAUUCGGGACGUAAAGCUCUAGCAGCAGGGAAGAAAAUGACGGUACCUGAGUAAGAAGCCCCGGCUAACUACGUGCCAGCAGCCGCGGUAAUACGUAGGGGGCAAGCGUUAUCCGGAUUUACUGGGUGUAAAGGGAGCGUAGACGGGGCGCCAAGUCUGGAGUGAAAUGCCGCAGCUUAACUGCGGAACUGCUUUGGAAACUGGCGAACUAGAGUGCGGGAGGGGUAAGCUGCCUUCCUUGUGUAGCGGUGCACUGCGUCGAUAUUCGGAGGCACACCGGUGGCGAAGGCGGCUUACUGGACCGUAACUGACGUUGAGGCUCGACAGCGUGGGGAGCAAACCGGAUUAGAUCCCCCGGUAGUC